AUGGUGGAGGGCUCCGCGUCCGACAUCGCCAACCUGAAGUUGCUCCUCCUAUGCUUCCAACAGAUGUCCGGCCUCACCAUCAACUUCGACAAGAGCGAAGUGAUGGUCCUCGGCUACCCCCCGGACGAUGCUUUGUCCAUAGCGGACCGGCUGAACUGCCGCCUGGGCUCCUUCCCCACGACUUACUUGGGGAUGCCCAUUAGUGACUCCAGACUCACCGUCGCGGAUCUCCGCCCGACGGUGACUAGGAUGCAGCACAGGGUUGAACCCUGGAGGGGACGCUGGCUGUCCAAAGCUGCCAGGGUGAUUCUAAUCAACUCCUCGCUUGCCAGCCUUCUCUGGUUUCUCAUGAGCUUCUAUAGCCUUCAUGAGACCCUCCAUCAGGAGGUGGCCAAAUACCAGUCGAGGUUCUUCUGGGCUGGUGAGGGCGACAAGCAGAAGUACCAUAUGGUGAGCUGGCCCGACAUCUGCAAACCCAAAGACCAGGAUGGCCUUGGGAUCCUGUCAUCCCGACGCAUGAACAUUGCCCUCCUGACCCGAUGGCUGUGGCGUAUUGCCAAUGGGGAGGGAGGCCUCUGGCUC
rnacentral:rRNA from 1 species